rnacentral:rRNA from 1 species
GCGGGAGGCCUAACACAUGCAAGCCGAGCGGUAUUUAUUCUUCGGAAUAGAGAGAGCGGCGUACGGGUGCGUAACACGUGUGCAACCUACCUUUAUCAGGAGGAUAGCCUUUCGAAAGGAAGAUUAAUACUCCAUAAUAUAUUAGAUGGCAUCAUUUAAUAUUGAAAACUCCGGUGGAUAGAGAUGGGCACGCGCAAGAUUAGAUAGUUGGUGAGGUAACGGCUCACCAAGUCAUUGAUCUUUAGGGGUCCUGAGAGGGAGAUCCCCCACACUGGUACUGAGACACGGACCAGACUCCUACGGGAGGCAGCAGUGAGGAAUAUUGGACAAUGGGUGAGAGCCUGAUCCAGCCAUCCCGCGUGAAGGAUGACGGUCCUACGGAUUGUAAACUUCUUUUGUAUAGGGAUAAACCUCUCUACGUGUAGAGAGCUGAAGGUACUAUACGAAUAAGCACCGGCUAACUCCGUGCCAGCAGCCGCGGUAAUACGGAGGGUGCAAGCGUUAUCCGGAUUUAUUGGGUUUAAAGGGUCCGCAGGCGGGCCGAUAAGUCAGUGGUGAAAUCUCAUAGCUUAACUAUGAAACUGCCAUUGAUACUGUCGGUCUUGAGUAAAUUAGAGGUAGCUGGAAUAAGUARGUGUAGCGGUGAAAUGCAUAGAUAUUACUUAGAACACCAAUUGCGAAGGCAGGUUACCAUGAUUUAACUGACGCUGAGGGACGAAAGCGUGGGGAGCGAACAGGAUUAGAUACCCUGGUAGUCCACGCCGUAACGAUGCUAACUCGUUUUGGGGCGCAAGCUUCAGAGACCMAGCGAAGKGAUAAGUAGCMCCUGGGGRGUACSWYCGCAGAU